rnacentral:lncRNA from 1 species
CCUGUUUUAAACCUUUCGUCGUUGUUUUUUUUAUUUGUUUUGAGGUGUUCACAAGGGGAAAAACGAGUAGCCAACGCAAUUUCGAAAUUCCCCGUAAUUUCAGCUCGCUCGCCGCCUCGCGCGGGGCCUCCCGCAGCGGCUGAGGUGAGAAGAUGGCGCCCGCGGGCCGGGCCGUGCCGUGCCGGGCCGGGGCCUCGCGCAGCGCCUCAGGGCGCCGAGGUGGGGCCGCCCCGCAGCGCCCUCACAGCCCGCCGGCCUCGCCCUUUAAACCCGAGGAGGGGCCGGAUUGGCCGCUGGGGCUGCCAAUCGCGGCGAGCAUUGCGUCACCCCGGCGGGCAGCCGGGCGCCGAUUGGCUGGAGCGGGGGCUCGGGGGCGGGCGGGCGCGGGGCGGGUUUCGCAAUCGCCGCUCGGGCCGCGCUGGGCGCUUUAACGACGAGGCUCGGGCCCGGCCGCGCCCCCCCCCCCCCCCCUCCGCCGCCGCCGCCGCCGCCGCCGCAGGUAAGGGCCGGCCGCGCGGGGGGCGCCGCCGCGGGGCGCGGGGCCGGGCCGGGCUCUGCCCGCUGCCGUUGCCGCGGCGGGUGGCGGCGGUGGCGGUGCGGCGGCCAUGGGGAGCGGCGCGCAUGAUGCAAUCGGCGGGCGGGCGGCCCCGGCCCCGCGCCUCUCCUCCCCCCGGUGAAGUCACGGCUUGGCGCUCCCGCACGGCCGCGGGGGAGGAGGAGGAGGAGGAGGAGGGGGAGGAGCGCGGCCGGGCGGCCCCCGGGCUGCGGGCCCGGCGGGGAGGCGGCGGCCGGGCCCCGGGGGUGUCCCGGGGGUGCCCCCCCUCCCCACCUCCCCGGGCCAGGUGCGGGCGGAGGCUCCCGGAGCCGCCCCGAGGGCAGCGGCCGCCCGGGCGGGGCCCCGGAGCUGCGGCAUGUCGCGACAGCACGAGGCUCGUCGCGACAGGGGCCUUUAGCGCCCCGGGGGAGCGCUGCGGGACUUCUGGGGGCUCCGGGAGGGACCACGCCGGGUCUGGGGGGAGCCGGGGGGGCUCAGCGGGCCCCUGUGGCCCCCAGGCCGGCCCCCCGACCCCUUGA